rnacentral:tRNA from 1 species
GCGGGUGUAGUUCAGUGGCAGAACGAGAGCUUCCCAAGCUCUAGACGAGGGUUCGAUCCCCUCCACCCGCUCCA